rnacentral:lncRNA from 1 species
UGGAUGAUUUUUUUUUUUUUUCCACGAAUGGAAAAGGCACUUAAACAUUUCAAGCACUUUCCAGAAGUGCUCGCACAUCCUGAAUUUCUGGGUGUGGGUGCCACAACUUCCCAGGUGUGCCAUGGGAAGGAAAAGACACAGGCACACACAGGUGACUGUGGGUAAAUGGGGUUUGAGGGAUGAGGCACAGGUGGCUCGUGAAGAAAACUGUGUGUGCAGCAGGGGCCUGGGGAGUCAGGGAGGGGAGCGCCAUGGGAGGGGGGGUGGGGCUGGUGGCAGAACAGGUCAGAGACCGUCCCCUGCCUGCGUCCUGCUGACCUGCCACACCCUGGCGUGGGGCAGCUGCUGGUGACAAUGACCAUGGUUUGGGGUUGAGUUUAAAAAGGGGAUGAGGGGCGUCUGGGUGGCUCAGUCGGUUGAGCGGCCGACUUCGGCUCAGGUCAUGAUCUCGCGGUCCGUGGGUUCGAGCCCCGCGUCGGGCUCUGGGCUGACGGCUCGGAGCCUGGAGCCUGUUUCAGAUUCUGUGUCUCCCUCUCUCUCUGACCCUCCCCCGUUCAUGCUCUGUCUCUCUCUGUCUCAAAAAUAAAUAAACGUUAAAAAAAAAAAAAUUAAAAAAAAAGGGGAUGAAGGGGCGCCUGGGUGGCUCAGUCGGUUGAGCGGCCGACUUCGGCUCAGGUCAUGAUCUCACAGCUCGUGAGUUCGAGACCCGCGUCGGGCUCUGUGCUGACAGCUCAGAGCCUGGAGCCUGUUUCAGAUUCGUCUCCCUCUCUCUCUGUCCCAACCCAUUCGCAUUCUGUCUGUCUCUCUCAAAAAUAAAUAGACAUUAAAAAAAAUUUUUUAAAAAAUAAAAAAAAUAAAAAGGGGAUGAAUUUUCAGGUCAAGGUCACAGUUAAGCCCUACUUGAGAGCAAAGACCCGGCUCUUUGUCCCCCAUCCCCUCUCUCACCUCUUGAAGGCAAUGUAGGCCACCAGGCCCACAACCACAGCAGCCAGGAUGGAACAAUAGACAGGGAUGAGGUUGUCGGCGGUGCCUCGGGUCACUACGGGCUGAGAGCUGCCCAUCACUGUGGUCACCACAUCUGCCACCGUGCUGGCUAUGAGGUCUUGCUCUGGAGGUACCUCUGGCUCCUCCGUGCUGGGGGCGGUGCUGUCCGAGCCCUCCGAAGGUGUAGACCGAGUAAUCCAACGGCCAGGGAUCUCUGGGAGAAGGAACUACAGAAGUGAGGGCCUGCCCCCACCCACCCACACCCCUCCCCUCCACUUCUUCCCCAGCCCCGGCCGGGCUCCAGGUGCUAGGGUGCCCAGCUGCACACAGGGGUGAGAGCUGACAUCGUGCGGAUGAGUCAUGACCGUGGAGAAGACAGACCGGGGUCCCCUUCAGCUCUGUCACUGACUUACUAUGGGACUCUGCACACACCGCUCAGGACCUCAAUUCCCCCAUCUCUAGAAGGGGGAUAUUAAGAGAGAUGAUCUCUAGGCGCCCGUCCAUCUGAGCUGUAGCCGCGGUCCUAGGAAUCUAUUUUGCCUGCCCUGGGUACCCAAAAGCCUGGCAGGGAGGUAAACACACAAAGAAGAGAGAGUGAGCGCCAGGAAGCUUCUAGCGGGAAGCCCCGCUGGGGAAAUGUUGGAACGUCUCCGGUCCCAGUUGGUCCCAGUGCCUCAGUCAUUCCGGUCCUUGGGAAGGAUGAAGAUACCCAGGCCUGGACAGAGAGAUACCUCCCUGCAAACCACCUCCCCAGGAGCUGGCACUCAGCCUCCCUCCCGGUCUCUGAUGUCCUAGCUCUCAGCUUGGGCAGGGGAGGGGGUGCCCAGCUGGCUUGCUCCCCUCCAGCCAGUCCUUAAACCGCCCAGUGGCUAGCCUCCGUUUCCUGCCCUGUGCGGCCCCCAAACCAAACCUUCUGAUCUCGCCACCCAGAGAAGAUGGUAUUGGGUAGCCCACCCCUUCCCUGGGCAGAAGCAGACUGUUGGCAGAGAAAAGACCUACAAAGAAGAUACUGCCCGCUGCCGGGGGGGGGGGGCGCCUUACCCCCCACCUGGCCCGAACAUGCCAGCAGGGCACUGCCAGCCUCCCUGACAGGGGACUUGGCACCUCCGGGCACUAGUGGGUGGGAGUUUCCAUUCUGCCACCCAGCCGGGGCCAGGACCGGGGGCUGUGGGCUCCAGACCGCCCGGGGGGUACCUGUCUGGGCAGAGUUGCCUACCCUAUCCGUCCUCGCUUCCUACGCCUGGGGCACGGAGGGAAACCAGACGGAACAUGCCAGUGGGGUGAAGGAGAGGCACUUCGCUCCCUGGCUCUGCCCCCCCCAGCCCCCAGUUUGCCCACCCAAGUCGGAGCUGAGGCUGCCCACUGGUCCCUUGGGCCUCUUUGGCUCAAGAUGUGGACGGUUCAAAGGCCCCCAUUUUCAGCACCUUCUGAGGGGUAAGGCCCCCAGAUGUGAAUCUGGAAUCCAUCUGGCUGGCAUUAGGGAGGGGGUUGCCAUCUGUUGCCCCAUCGUCCCCCUCCCCUAGCUCGGUCCGGGGAGGGGGGAGGGCGGGAAGUGGAAGAGACACGGCAGCCCCAGACAGGGUGUUGGGACUGGGGAGGGUCUUCUCUUGCCCUGCGAGGAGACUGGGCAAACUGGCGGGGCAGCCUGAGCCCUGAGGCUGAGAUACAACUUGGCUAGGACCGACCCCACCCCAGAGGCUGAAGGUUUUGGCGGGGGGGGGGUGUUGGUGAAUCAGGCCAUCACAGAGAUUCGAGAAAUCUCAAAUGGGACCGGUUGAUAGUGGCAUUAAGGGGACAGACCGGGCUAAGACGGGGCUGUCCAGGGCACUUUCUCCUCAUCUCUCUGAUCCCCUCUAGCGGGGGUGGGGGGAGGACAGCAGGAUGAAAUCCAGAUGUGGCCAUGUCCACCAGCAUUCCAACCCGCUAAGCCCCUGGCAAGUCCUGACAGCCAUUUCCGGAAUGGGAGCUGUCAGACUUGGGGGUGGAAAGAGGGAGCAGGUUACUCCUAAAUCCAAAUUUCACUGGAACAAGGGGGUGAAGGGGGGGUGUGUCCUUCUGCCCCAAGGCUGAGUGAGUCACCAUGUUGACACCUGAAAUGUAUAUGCAAGAAAGUACAAUGCACUGGGGGGGAGGGGGGGUGACCAAACCACAAUCCGAUUCCAUUUCCUGAAAUGUUCCUUCUGUUCCAAGCUGACACUUAACCCUUCAGAAACUCAGAGAAGGGAAGAGGGGCAGGGAUAAACACAGCCCUCAGGGGCACCCUCUUCCUUCAGGCUGGCUGGGAAAGUAGGGUGGUAUCUGGGAGGAAUGCGUGAACGCCUCGGAAGGGAGAGCCUACCCCUCCCACAGCCACCACCUCUCUUUGCUGUCACCGCACCCCUAAGUCCCCCCACCGGCUGGUCCAGACUUGCCCCUGAAUCGUGCUGCCCGCCUGCCUGCUGCCCGCUGCUGGAACCCCCUCCCUGCUCUGCCCUGUGCCUGACGCCACUUGCCUGUCUCCUGGCCGAGGGCAAUCGCCACCGGAAUCGCUCUGUUCUGCGCCCCACUCCUCCCCCCCCCAACACCCCCUCCCAACCCCAGUGCGUGAAGCUUCACACACAUACCUGGCCUCAGCCCAUGUUUAACCAUCCUCCCCACCGUGUGCUCCCCGAGCCAGGGAUGACAGGAUGUGGAAGGCAGGCGUGCUCCCCACGAGCAGGGGAAUCUAUCCCCCCCCACAAAUGACUGGGGGCUGACUGAAGGCAGGGGCUGUGCUGCCUCCCCCAGAAUGGGGGGGGGGGCUUCCUGGGAACUAAAUCGUGGGACCCUAUCUGUCCCAUCGGAAUGGGGCAAAGGCUGUCUCUCCCCCGUGAGACCUGGGGCUCCCCGAAGGAGGCUGUUCAGGGGAGAGCAGCCAAAGGCAAGUAGCUAACGAGGUACCCAGCCACAGGGCAAUGGACGGAAAGGAAAGGCACUGACAACCUCUCCCCGGAGAUGGAUGUCACCAACCAGAAACCAAAAUGGGUCUGCCCUGGCUGCCACAGCGCUUCCUCCUCCCAUCCCGGGAACUGUCUCAUCUCCACGGGGCGCCAUGCCUGACCAAGGUGGGUGCACCCAGUUCCCAGCCACCCUGGAGACCCACAGCCCUCCAGGAGCGCUCUGUCUUGUCCCUGGGCUCCUGAGCCCCAGAGCUGCUUCCUCUGCUCCCACCACCUCCUUAGUGUCCCCUGAGUCCAAUGUCCUCCUCGGCUAACGGUAACAAUGACUGUUGACCCCUCCCCCAGACACCGCAAGUUAAAGAGGGCCAGCCACCUUCCCUAACCGACAGCAUCCCUGGAAGCUGUAUGACCAAUGAGGAAACUGAGGUCCAGAGACAAGGGUGACCUCCCUACCGUCACUCCAAGAGCGACAGCGAAGAUUCCAUCCCCCAAGGCUAUAAACCACUCUGGACUGAGACCAGGCCUCAGAGCCAAAGGGCCCCAACUCCUGAGGGUCCUCAAGCCCCUCGUCCAGGCCAGAGAGGCUGCUCAAGGACCAAACAUGUCCCGCACUGGGCUCUGACCCACAGGCCACCUUUGAGUUGCUUGUCUGUUGCCCAUCCGGUCCCACAGAUGAAUAAGCCGCGGGAACUGAGUUCCAGGGUAGUAGCUGCGGCCUCGGGGCCAGACGAGGGCUUUCUAAGCACUCAGCCCAAGGAAGGAAAUAGUGGGAGGGGGUCCUUUGGGCCUGGGGGUUUCAGGGAGGGUGGCGGCGGCGGGCUCAAGGCCACCGAGCAGGCCCGGCCCGUCUCGACCCCCAGGGGGCGCCCUUGCCCGCGGCGCGCUCACCCUCGCACUCGGCGUCGGCCCAGCGCGUGCACUCGCGCAGCUGGCGCUCGGUGUCCUCGCACACGGUGCAGGGCAGGCACGGGUCCACGUGGUUGGCCUCGUCCGAGUACGUGCCGUCGGGACACUCCUCGCACACGGUGUUCUGCCGGUCCUGGCACGAGAACACCAGGCCGGAGCCCGCCUCGCACACGCGGCACGCCUCGCAGCGGCCCGUCGUCUCGUCCUGGUAGUAGCCGUAGGCGCAGCGACACACGGCGUCGUCGGCCUCCACGCACGGCGCCGACAUGCUCUGCAGGCCCACGCACUCGGUGCACGGCUUGCACGGCUCCGUGGCGCUCACCACGUCCGAGAAGGUCACGCCUGAGGGCAGAUGGAAAGGCAGGGUGGGGGCGGGUUGGGGGGGGGCACGGAAGUUCGCCACCUGCCCUCUGGGCAUCCGGGACGUGGGGGCUGGAGGCGCUCCCUCCCUCCCGUAUAUCCUCCCGCAGGAGCCCCUCCCUGAGCCCCACCCUCCUCCUCGGGGGUCCCAGGCCUCCUGGGAAGGGCCCCUCCCCACCCCCCCAGCCCAGUGCCCCAGGGCCGGAAGCACGGACCCCCCGAGGCUAGGCGGGGUAACCGCCUGGAGCCGGUAAAUUUCUUGUUAAAUUCUCUUAGAGAGUUCCCGGCCCAGUACCCUUGUUCCCAGCAUGAUUAAGGAAUAAUCUGAGCGUGGUUCCCAUCCAGCCCUCCCCGCGGGCCAGAGCUGGACUGCGAACCCAACCCAGGCACGGGCGGGCCUUCGCUUAGGGAGCCUCCCGCCCCCGCUGCCCUUCCAUUCCUCUGCGCGCAGAUGGGGGCCCAGGUGUGGCCUGACUAGGGUGAGACCGCAGAAUGUCCACCCGUGGCGCUACCCCACGCUGCUUGAGGGCUGGGCUCUUGAGGGUGGGGAUGGUCUCCCUGACAAGGCAACAAUAGGAGGGAUUGACGCUAGACAGC